rnacentral:rRNA from 1 species
UACGUAGGGGGCAAGCGUUGUCCGGAGUUACUGGGCGUAAAGCGCACGCAGGCGGUCUGCUAAGUUUGGAGUGACAGUUGGUGGCUUAACUGCCAAAGUGCUUCGAAAACUGACAGACUUGAGGGCUUCAGAGGGACACGGAAUCCGGGUGGAGUGGUGAAAUGCGUAGAGAUCCGGAGGAACACCAAAGGCGAAGGCAGUGUCCUGGGGAGUACCUGACGUUCAGGUGCGAAAGCCAGGGGAGCGAACGGG